GAUGAACGCUGGCGGCGUGCUUAACACAUGCAAGUCGAACGGGAAUUCUUUUAUUGAAACUUCGGUCGAUUUAAUUUAAUUCUAGUGGCGGACGGGUGAGUAACGCGUGGGUAACCUGCCUUAUACAGGGGGAUAACAGUCAGAAAUGGCUGCUAAUACCGCAUAAGCGCACAGAGCUGCAUGGCGCAGUGUGAAAAACUCCGGUGGUAUAAGAUGGACCCGCGUUGGAUUAGCUGGUUGGUGGGGUAACGGCACACCAAGGCGACGAUCCAUAGCCGGCCUGAGAGGGUGAACGGCCACAUUGGGACUGAGACACGGCCCAGACUCCUACGGGAGGCAGCAGUGGGGAAUAUUGCACAAUGGGGGAAACCCUGAUGCAGCGACGCCGCGUGAAGGAAGAAGUAUCUCGGUAUGUAAACUUCUAUCAGCAGGGAAGAUAGUGACGGUACCUGACUAAGAAGCCCCGGCUAACUACGUG
rnacentral:rRNA from 1 species